rnacentral:snoRNA from 1 species
UGAUGAUUGUGAUGGCAAUUUCUGAGCAUACCCUUAAAUCUCUCCCAAGCUUGGUAGAGAUUCUCCCCGUCUUUCUGUCUAACACUCAAGAUUUCACUCCUCAAGCG